GCUAAUACCGGAUAGUUCCUUGAACCGCAUGGUUCAAGGAUGAAAGACGGUUUCGGCUGUCACUUACAGAUGGACCCGCGGCGCAUUAGCUAGUUGGUGGGGUAAUGGCUCACCAAGGCGACGAUGCGUAGCCGACCUGAGAGGGUGAUCGGCCACACUGGGACUGAGACACGGCCCAGACUCCUACGGGAGGCAGCAGUAGGGAAUCUUCCGCAAUGGACGAAAGUCUGACGGAGCAACGCCGCGUGAGUGAUGAAGGUUUUCGGAUCGUAAAGCUCUGUUGUUAGGGAAGAACAAGUGCGAGAGUAACUGCUCGCACCUUGACGGUACCUAACCAGAAAGCCACGGCUAACUACGUGCCAGCAGCCGCGGUAAUACGUAGGUGGCAAGCGUUGUCCGGAAUUAUUGGGCGUAAAGGGCUCGCAGGCGGUUUCUUAAGUCUGAUGUGAAAGCCCCCGGCUCAACCGGGGAGGGUCAUUGGAAACUGGGAAACUUGAGUGCAGAAGAGGAGAGUGGAAUUCCACGUGUAGCGGUGAAAUGCGUAGAGAUGUGGAGGAACACCAGUGGCGAAGGCGACUCUCUGGUCUGUAACUGACGCUGAGGAGCGAAAGCGUGGGGAGCGAACAGGAUUAGAUACCCUGGUAGUCCACGCCGUAAACGAUGAGUGCUAAGUGUUAGGGGGUUUCCGCCCCUUAGUGCUGCAGCUAACGCAUUAAGCACUCCGCCUGGGGAGUACGGUCGCAAGACUGAAACUCAAAGGAAUUGACGGGGGCCCGCACAAGCGGUGGAGCAUGUGGUUUA
rnacentral:rRNA from 1 species